rnacentral:rRNA from 1 species
GAUGAACGCUGGCGGCGUGCCUAAUACAUGCAAGUCGAACGCGCAGCGAAAGGUGCUUGCACCUUUCAAGCGAGUGGCGAACAGGUGAGAGACACGCGGAUGACCUGUCUCAAUGCUUGGGAUAACAUUUGUGAACAGGUUCGAAUACCGAGUAAAAGUUAGUAUAGCACGUUAUCAAUUUAAAAGGCGCUACGGCGUGGCGUAGAGAUGGAUCCGCGGUGCAUUAGUUAGUUGGUGGGGUAAAGGCCCACCAAGACGAUGAUGCAUAGCCGGGUUGAGAGAGUGAUCGGCCACAUUGGGACUGAGACACGGCCCAAACUCCUACGGGAGGCUGCAGUAGGGAAUCUUCCACAAUGGGCGCAAGCCUGAUGGAGCAACGCCGCGUGUGUGAAGAAGGCUUUCGGGUCGUAAAGCACUGUUGUAUGGGAAGAAAUGCUAAAAUAGGGAAUGAUAUGAGUUUGACGGUACCAUACCAGAAAGGGACGGCUAAAUACGUGCCAGCAGCCGCAGUAA